UACGGAGGGUGCGAGCGUUGUCCGGAAUCACUGGGCGUAAAGGGCGCGUAGGUGGCCUCUUAAGUGUGUGGUGAAAGCCCGGGGCUUAACCCCGGGUCUGCAUCCGAUACGGGCAGGCUAGAGUGUGGUAGGGGAGAUCGGAAUUCCUGGUGUAGCGGUGAAAUGCGCAGAUAUCAGGAGGAACACCGGUGGCGAAGGCGGAUCUCUGGGCCAUUACUGACGCUGAGGAGCGAAAGCGUGGGGAGCAAACAGG
rnacentral:rRNA from 1 species